rnacentral:rRNA from 1 species
UACGGGGGGAGCAAGCGUUGUUCGGAUUUACUGGGCGUAAAGGGCGCGUAGGCGGCCACCGCAAGUCAAUUGUGAAAUCUCCGGGCUUAACUCGGAAAGGGCAACUGAUACUGCGGGGCUAGAGUGCGGAAGGGGCAACUGGAAUUCUCGGUGUAGCGGUGAAAUGCGUAGAUAUCGAAAGGAACACCUGCGGCGAAGGCGGGUUGCUGGGCCGACACUGACGCUGAUGCGCGAAAGCCAGGGGAGCGAACGGG